rnacentral:rRNA from 1 species
UACGUAGGGUGCGAGCGUUAAUCGGAAUUACUGGGCGUAAAGGGCGCGUAGGCGGCCUGUUAAGUCGAACGUGAAAUCCCCGGGCUCAACCCGGGAACUGCGUCCGAUACUGGCAGGCUUGAAUUCGGGAGAGGGAUGUGGAAUUCCAGGUGUAGCGGUGAAAUGCGUAGAUAUCUGGAGGAACACCGGUGGCGAAGGCGGCAUCCUGGACCGAUAUUGACGCUGAUGCGCGAAAGCCAGGGGAGCAAACGGG